GGCAUUAGGAACUCAGAUAUGUCUGGGCUUCUACAUCACAGGGAAUGGGUGGAAUCAAUUCGUGGGUCACGCCAGAAAAGAGUUGUGGACAUAAUUUAUAUAUGUUUGUGAGCUAAAAAUAAGUGUUGGCUACCAUUGAAGUAUAGAUUGGUCAUACACUAGAUAGGGCUAGAUCACUCGGGUCGCCACAAGUUGAAGAAUGCAAAGAGUGUCCACAUGAUUUCAUGGUGAUGAACAGUGAUUUUAUGAGCAAACUAGCAAAGGAUAAUCAGUUGCAUAUAUGUGAUGAAGACCGAUCAGUUUCCGAGCAAAGUAGCAAAUGAGUCAUCGAAGCUGUCAUCUAGGACAAACUCGUUGUUAUCGUAGAUUAGACAACAAGGCUAGGACAUCAUCCUUAGUCGUCAGAUCAAGCGAUGAACAACAACAUGGAAUUGGAAGAUUAAGAUAAAAGGAAUAGUAGAUAUAUAAUGGUUUGGUUUGAUAUUGGAUUACUCAAUUGAUUGUGGUCCUCUAAUAUAUAAAGAGUGGAUAGUAUUAUCC
rnacentral:lncRNA from 7 species